CUUUCAACCCUCUUUGACUCCAGCAGCAAACGGUAAACCCUAACUCCAGCUUCGUUCGUUUGUAUAAUUGUAUGUAUUUGUAGAAUUAUGAUUUGUUAAGUUGUAAUGUUAUUUGUAAAGGUUACAAUUUUAUGAUUUGCAUCAAAUGAAAUUACGAGCGAAAGUGAUCAGAUUGCAUAUCUCACAAAUUUUGUAGAAACCCUACCCUAAUUAGAAUUUAAGAAAUUGUUGGAGUUCUAAGCCCUUACUGCAUUGCUUUUUUGUCUUCUUGUCACUUGAAGAAUCUUCUUGUUUGAAAGCAUUCUGCAAGUUCAACACUUGUAUGCUUUCUUUCUGAUAGUAGCUAGGCUCCCGGACACCAAUUAAGAAUGGAUAUACCUACAACACAACGAUUUGUAUUUUGUACAGACAUGAAAAACGAUAAGAGAAACGUGCCUAACAGUUUGUGUUGCGCGUUACAAGGGUUAACCCAUGCUCAAAAUUCUGAUAUAAGGGAUAUGGGAUUUGAAACUAUCAAGUGCUUUAACAUACACAACAUACCGGUAGGUUUAGGGUAUUGGUUGUUGCUCAACUAUGAUCAUAAAACAAACUAAUUACCGUAAAAUUAAAAUCACACCCUCAAAGGUUCAUGAUGUUCUUGGAGUGCCUACGGGGGAAAUUAGUGUCUCUGAAAAGCCAAAGGUGACAAAACGAGACGCUAUUAGAGAACGAUGGAAGAGCCAGUUUGUUAAUGCUUGUAUAACUGUUAAACAUGUGACUGAAAAGCUUAAAUUAUAUCCGCGAGGCGGAAUACUUUUUAAGCUUAACUUCCUUGUUAUCUUCAACUCUAUUAUGGGUGAGACUAGUGGUGCACAAAAAACCCGAACCCGGACCCGGACCCGAAAAAAAACCCCGGAACCGGGUAUUAUAAAACCCGGGUUUUUUAUACCCGAACCCGAACCCGACCCUACCCGUAGGGUAGGGACCGGGUAUGCAUAUUUGAUCUAAAACCCAAACCCGGAACCGGGUUUUUUUAUACCCGGUUUAUACCCGAAACCCGGUUUUAUAAAUACCCGAACCCGAACCCGGAACCGGGUUUUAUAAAUACCCGGAACCGGUUUUUAAAAAAACCCGAUUUUGAUGUAAUCUUGUUUAAUUAUGUAUGCAUUAAGACUUCUAGUUCUUAUGAUUUAACAAAAUUAUGUAUGCACUUUGAUGUAAUCUUGUUUAAUUAUUAGGUUUCUAAUGAUAUUUGCCACCGCUACUUAAUUAUUUAGUAUAUUUCAUUAUAAGUGGAAACAAAUAUGCCAAUAUAUGUUGACCCUUCUAUUUUCUUUGUUUGUUUAAUAUCAUUAUUAGUUUUUGUAUUUAAUAAAUUGUGCCUCUGUUUAUAAAGUUCAAGAAUAACCACAUGAAGAACUAUAAAUUGUGCCUCUGUUUAUAAAUUGUGCCUCUGUUUAUCAAUAGAUUUGAUGUCUAUGUGUGAGAGUUAUGUUUGAUACAUUUUAUAAGCAUAGUUCCGGUCGGGUUUUUUUAAUACCCGGUGCGGGUUUUUUCCCAACCCGAUGCAUACCCGAACCCUACUCGAUGAAUACCCGAACCGGACCCGAACCCGGGAAUAGGGUAUUAUAAUACCCGGGUUUUAUAAAACCCGACCCGAACCCUACCCGAACCCGGGUAUAUAGGGUAUACAUUUUUGGUAGAGAACCCGGACCCGACCCGGUUUUAAAAAAAACCCGAUUUUGUAAAACCCGAUCCUACCCGAACCCGAUCCUACCCGAAACCCGGUUUUUAAAAAAACCCGAUUUGUGCACCACUAGGUGAGACAACUAAGAGUGCAACCGUUAAUCAAAAGUUUCUCACGUCAAUCAAUAAUGAAGCCGACAUACCGAACAUGGAUUGGUGUAGUUAUAUCAUAGCUUGCUUGAAGAGAACUAGAGAGGGAUGGAUUGGUAUAUAGCCCUAUAACGGCCCGUUGACUGUUCUCGAGGUGUUAUACGCACACGAACGACAACUGAAACGUAGUCCUGAAAAUGUAGUAACUCCAGCGUUACAAUAUGUUACCACUGAUUUGUUGGUUGAUCUUGAGAGGUCCUUAUAUGACAACGGACCGUGUUCGAAUGAUGACAUUAAAAAGGAGGAUCCGUUAACUCCAAAUGUUGAAGAUCACGUUCAGUCACUAGGUCCUGAAGUUCAAGGUCAAACUGUUGAAGAUCAAACUGCUAUUGACCAAAAUGUUAAGGUACCUGAUGUAACUUCUGUUCAAACAGAUUCGGUAUUGAAGCUAAAGGUACCCAUUGGUCCACGAGGUGCUCACUCACUGUCUGGAUUAUCAGCUAAUAUAGGACAUUGAAACCGGCUUGAACCGUCUAAAGACAAGAAGAUUGGUAAUAAUAUGGGCAAGACAAAGAAACGUGCUUGGAGAAACACAAACACUUGCCUACCAAAGAAAUUUAGGCGCAAUGUGAGUUGGCUGAAAAUGUGUCUCCUAUGUCAAAUUCUCUGGAAAAGUCAACUUAUCAAAGUGACAUAGUUUGUGUCCAAGGCACAAAGUGAACCAAAGUACUGCAACAAUUCUUAAAGCCAUUUUCAAGAAACACGGUGACAUUGCAGCUGAUUGUGUAUUCAAAACAAAUUCUGUGAGAUCAUCGAUCCUUGAGGUUGUUUGUGAAGCUGUCAGUUGGAUUCAAACGGAUGAUGUUAUUGAAAUAGGGGAAGAUAUAGAGCGCCAAUUGUCAAAUGCUAAUGCGUCGUGGAUUCGAGCACACUUUGAGGCUGCUCACAAAAGGAAGGAGGCCCAAAUGCUUAUGGAAACAAAAACAAACAUCACACUGGUAAAGAAAGCCGCCCUGAUGGAUCUAGUAAUGGGAUAUGGAUCUAGUAAUGAGAUAUGAAAAGCUUACGGCUGCCUAUAAACAGUUUGAAGAGGCUGAUAGGUGCAUGCAAGUACUCCAUCUUGUUGAAAAGAAGCUAAAUAAUAACAUUUUGGAAUCUAAAGAUGAAAAUGGUGUGUGGGUUAAGCAACCCCUUUUAUAACCAAGUCGUUUAAUAGAUGGAAGGUUGUUAGCGGGCAUAAUAUUAUAAGCGCUGCUAUGAAAAACCUUACGUUUUGUCGCACGAGUCGGGGCCCGCUUUUUGGAACACAAUAGUUUAGUUUUUGUAUAGCCUUUCAUGAAAAUACUUGGGCUUAGCUUUUUGACAUGCUCCUUUUGAUAUGCUA